UACGUAGGGUGCGAGCGUUGUCCGGAAUUAUUGGGCGUAAAGAGCUCGUAGGCGGCUCAGUAAGUCGGGUGUGAAACCCCCAGGCUCAACCUGGGGACGCCACCCGAUACUGCUGUGACUUGAGUCCGGUAGGGGAGCAGGGAAUUCCAGGUGUAGCGGUGAAAUGCGCAGAUAUCUGGAGGAACACCGGUGGCGAAGGCGCUGCUCUGGGCCGGUACUGACGCUGAGGAGCGAAAGCGUGGGUAGCAAACAGG
rnacentral:rRNA from 1 species